ensembl:lncRNA
UAGGGGCGGGACUGAGAUAGGUAAUGGCGGACUGAACGUAGUUAUGUAGAGCACCUCAUGAUAAAAACGUAAUAUUCAAUUACGUUAAUUUAGACUAAAUAUUAGCACUACACAAUUUCGUGGGUGAUAACAUUCAAUCUGGAUAAUAAAACAAAACAAAUCUUAAGACUAGAGAAAUUUAGCGACAAAUAUUACGAAAACAAGCAACACCCAAACAUGACCAGAGUAAGACAGGGAAACCAAUUUUAAAACGAAAACAUGACUCUUCUACAGACAGACGAUUUAAUAUUUUCACCACCGGGAAUGGUAAAGGUCGAAACCGAUCUGUGAAAAUCAAUAAAUGACGAUCUAAGUAAGAAUAUAAAAGAGUUGACGGCAAGCCUCGAUGUGUGAUGGAAAAAGCUGCGACGUUGGGAAAGGAAACAAACAAGCUAAAAGUGACAGUCAAUAAAACUGAAACCGAAGUGAAUGAACUUAAAAAGGUGAACAUCGUUCUGAGAGAAGCCUUACUUGACAUACAGACUAGAUCCAUGAGAGAGAAUCUGAUACUUACAGGUACUUACAGGUAUCCAAGAGAAAGAAGGAGAAGUUCCUGAAUCCGUGGUAAAAGAGUUCCUCCUUACAGAACUUCAGAUUCCACGCGGAGCUAUCAACAAAAUCCAACUCGAACGUGUACACCUCAUUCGGACAGAGAGGGCAGAGGUCUUUGGAGAGUAUACCAGCACAGAUGUUCGCUUCGCUUUGCCGAGUUCUGCCAGGAGAAAAUAGAACCUACAGUAUGUACGCGGACGCCUUAACUCUAAUGGUGCUAUUGUAAUGUUGUUUUGAAUAAGUAUAAGCAUAAGUAUUAUUAGUGUAUUAGUGAGAGUGAGCUAUGUAUCUAAAGAUAAUAAAAACGGUACAGACAAGGACAUUCAUCAUUCACUUUAGUGUCUGCAAUUGAAAAUAUUUUCCUUGUCUUUUCUUCUCUGAGAUAAUUGUUAUUGUCAUUCCACAAUGGAUAUGUUUGAAGCAGCUCUAUGCAUUUAACAAAGGCAGGUUUCCAAUAAAAUGGUCUGUUCUAUAUCCUCUUAUUUUUAUGUGAAAUCAUCCUCUCUUACACAACUCAUGUUUUGCUACAAGCUAGAAUGUGUGUGUGAGUAUAAAUGACUGUGCAGAAUAUGCACAUUUUCACAUUGACUUGUGAAUCUGCAUUACUCAACAUUUUACAUUGCUUAACACACAUUUGUAUGAGAAAGAGUGAGUGUGCAGAAUAGUCACAUUUUCAGCCUGUGAAUAUAUCUGCAUUCAACAUCAAAUACAUUUAAAUUAUUCUAAUGCAAUGAUUAAUUAUUGAAUUGCGGUGGCAAAUGCUGUCCCAUGAUUUUGGCACCAUGUAAAACAUUUUUAAAUGACAAAAAGAUGACAAAUAAUACAUUUUCCAUUUGACAUAAAUGUUAUUUCAUAAGAAAACAUAUGUAAGUCCUUUAUUCUGCAAAAUGUAUAUUUGUAAGUGUUGUAGAAACUACUGGGUGUUGGCAAAUGGGCUUGUCCCACUGGUAAUGUGUUGAGGUUUAGUAACAUUUUGAGGGGACGUGGAGAUCUAUCUAUUAUUUUGAAUGCUAGACAGUGAACAAAAUGAUUUAAUAUAUUGUAUUGAUCAAUAAAAACAAAAAUAACGCUAUUAAAAUAUCAAUUUUUAGUAUAAUGUGUGCCUCAGUUUUAUGUAAUUGAUGUUACCGCCUUGAAAAUCACUGAAUCCAAAGAUAC